UACGGAAGGGGCAGGCGUUACUCUUUUUAACUGGGUGUAAAGCGUAUUUUGAUUGUAUUCGCUAAAAUUUUAAAAAGUUUUAGGAAGACUAAAAGCUAUAAAUUUGUGUUAAUACUAUUUUUUAUUGAUAUUAAUUCAAUUCUUAUUCUAAGGGCAAAAUUUGUUGAGUUUAAGAGGAAAACCAAUUGCGAAGGCAUUUUUUUAUAUAAAAAAUUAUGUUUAAGUACGAAAACUUGGGGAGCAACAGG
rnacentral:rRNA from 1 species